rnacentral:rRNA from 1 species
CUCCUACGGAGGCAGCAGUGGGGAAUAUUGCGCAAUGGGCGAAAGCCUGACGCAGCGACGCCGCGUGCGGGAUGAAGGCCUUCGGGUUGUAAACCGCUUUCAGCAGGGACGAAACCAGACGGUACCUGCAGAAGAAGCGCCGGCUAACUACUUGCCAGCAGCCGCGGUAAUUC